CUUUUCUAGGGCCGCAGCUGUGGCACAUGGAGGUUCCCAGGCUAGGGGUCAAACGGAGCUGUAGCUGCCACAGCCACAGCAACUCGGGAUCCAAGCCAUGUCUGCAACCUAUACCACAGCUCAUGGCAACGCCAGAUCCUUAACCCACUGAGCGAGGCCAGGGAUCAAACCUGCAACCUACCUCAUGGUUCCUAGUCGGAUUUGUUAACUACUGAGCCACGACGACAACUCCUAAAAAUUCACAUUUAAAACUAGGACAGCAGAACACUGGUUUUUAAAAAUGAAAACAGGGAGAAGGGCUGGCCUAGAAUUGAGGAAGACAAAGAGAUCAACAGAGUCGCUGGACCAUUUCAGUGGUGGAGCUGAGGAAGGGGGGCUGCACCACUGGGGGCUGGAACAGAGGGAGGGGGUCUGCGAUGGCACCACCAUGGAAACUCAAAAACAAAUACUGAGAAACGAAAGCACACAGUCCUCUGUCCAGAAUCUCGAGCCUUCUACUCUCGUAUUUCACCUUCCACCCUCAUGACAACAGGUUAAUUAAGAGCACAGGCCAGAAUAGGACCCUCUGUGUUCAAAUUCCAUCUCUGCCAUGAAUAAAUAACCAUAUGCUCUUGGGUGGGUCAAUUAAACCCCAUGUAUCAGGAAAAUGGGGACACAGCAGGAUCCCACUCAUACGACUGUUGUAAAAUGCAUUCGUCCAAUGAACACCGCCAGGCACACAGUAAGCGCUCAAUAAAGACUAGCUGUUACCAUUUUCUGGAUCAGCAUCACUGCUCUUCACCCCCACGACCAAGACAAGUGGAGGUCACCUUGCCAAUGGGCCCUAUGUGUCCUGAGAUUUCCUACCCUUGAUGCCCUUGAUGCCGAAGCUGUCCGUUCUCUUUGUUGCUGAGCUUCUUGGAUUUGGAGCCAACAAACUAGUCCCUCUUCUGCCCUGGGUGAUCUCAGAUCCGACACUUAAAAUCAGGCCUUCCAACACAACAUCAACAUCCAGCCAUUUGAGAAGCCAACCACACGUCUUCCGGCACAGUCAAGAGGUUAAAUCAAACAUUUACCUCAUACACAACAACGAGGCGCGUGACCCCUUCUCCCUCCCAAGGACAAAUAAUUGACGGUGGAACAGAUGUCCAGUAUUCCACCUCACGAGCAUUUGCUGUGGCGUGAACGGGAGACGGGAGCUGAGCACAUGCUGCUCCCUCGGGCAGGCUCGGCUCUUCACCGGGAAGCAGCUCCCCGCUCGGAGCAGCACUCCAGGGUCUUGAGAUGCACCCUCUUCACCCAGCAUGGCCUCCAAAGGCAAACCAACUCCUUCUCCAGGAGCUUGUCAGAAAGAAGAACACACGUCCUCAACCUGGAGGAGAAGUGGCUGUGUGGGGUGUGGUGGAAGCCUAACUUCUUCUUUAAAGAAAAUGUUAGCUUCUUCUUGUCUCCCAACACACAUUCUCCCUUUUUCCUUUAAUAACCGAACUCCCACGUUCUAGCCAGAGACAAGGCUGACGUGAAGGAAGACACUUCCCUGCCUCACCUGCAGCUGGGGGUGGUCCCGUGACUAAGUUCAGACCAACAGAAUAGGCGUAGAAAACGUGCAUUUGACUUCUGGAUCACCCCAACAAAGUGUGACCGAAUUCAAGAGCUCCGUUAAUCUAGAGGAGGGAAAUUAUCUCCAUUUUCACUAACUUAUGACUGAAAUUCAGCAUUUCCUUCCCUUGUGAACACAGGCAGACCACAGCAGUUUCACAACACCUGUGAAUUUGUCACCAACAACAGAAAUCACAGUUUUUUUUUUUAAUCACACCACAGUUCUUGCAAACAUCUCAAAAUAGUAUCAAUGACCUUUCGUACUUUGAAAUCAUUUGGUUAUCAGGCUUGCCAUAUAACUAAAUGAUUGGGUUUUGCCAUAUUCUAUCACUAAUUUAUUAUCUUCGUAUUUGAAAAAUACUAUUUCAACACGAUUGGCUUACUUUGUAAUCCCAUAUAUUUUGCAAAUAAAAACAUGAUGGUAAGAAGUAGAUGCCAAAGAGUCCAUGGCACACAAAUGUUAAGAAUCUCUGCCUUGUGGUAACAGAGUUACUACACGACCCAGAAAUUCCGAUCUUAGGGAUACAAUGAAGCAACCUGAAAAUACGUUCAUGCAAACACUUCCACAUUAACAUUCACAGCAGCCUUACCUACUCGUGACCACCAAAAAGUGACAGCAACCCAAAUGUCCAUCAACAGAUGAACAGAAAAACGGGAUGUGGGAUGGCCGUACCAUGGAACGUUGUCCAGCCACAGAAAGGAAUGAAAGGACUGCGCAACCUUGUGAACACACUAAAAACCAGCGCACCGUACGCUUCACGUAAAAGGGUGAAUUCUCUCUCAAAACAAGUGGUUAUAGAGCCAUUUAAGAAGGGGGGGGCACCUUCUUCUCUUAAACCCUCCCUUCCUGCAGGUUGGAAGGCGUGCAUAAUGACGGCGGGGUCAUUCUGGACCAUGCCCAUGAGGGUAAUGUCCCAGCAACAGGGAGAAACAAGACCCAGGACACUGGGUCCCCCACACCGUGCAGCUGCCUCAGCAGCUCAUCACUCCACGGUACCGUCUAAAUACAUACAAUUUUGAGGUGUUAAUGAUAUCAUAAUAAAGCUAGAAAUACAUCUUUUUAAAAAAGAGAAAGUUCAAGGUGAUCUGAUUCUUCCGCAGUUUUGCUUCACCCGGGGACCAGCCGAAGCGAACUUCCACAAGAUGCACUCCCAUGACCGGGAGGGUCCCCGCCUCCUGCAGGCUUAAAGGAGGGUUCAGCCACCUUGGCUGCAAUGUCAUUUUGCCGACCGUGGCUUUAGGAGAAAAGAGAGCCACAACCUUUAGGAGAGAAUAAAAGGCUUCCAAUUGCAAGAGUCUUGAUGGCCUGCAGAGAUUCAGGAUGGCAUCAGUGUCAGCAGUGUGGGAUGGUUCCUCGCAAGGAUUUGAAUAACCAAGUGUUAAAACACCUGACCUCAGCUUCUCACUCCUCGGCCUCCUUAGAUGAAGGAUGACUAA
ensembl:lncRNA